GCCAGCAUGGCAUAGUGGUUUGAGUGCUCGACUAGGACUCUGUAGACCAGGGUUCAAAUCCCAGUUCUGCCA